rnacentral:rRNA from 1 species
UGGGGAAUAUUGCACAAUGGGGGAAACCCUGAUGCAGCGACGCCGCGUGAACGAAGAAGGUAUUCGUAUCGUAAAGUUCUGUCCUAUGGGAAGAUAAUGACAGUACCAUAGAAGAAAGCUCCGGCUAAAUACGUGCCAGCAGCCGCGGUAAUACGUAUGGAGCGAGCGUUGUCCGGAAUUAUUGGGCGUAAAGGGUACGCAGGCGGUUUAAUAAGUCGAAUGUUAAAGAUCGGGGCUCAACCCCGCAAAGCAUUGGAAACUGAUAAACUUGAGUAGUGGAGAGGAAAGUGGAAUUCCUAGUGUAGUGGUGAAAUACGUUGAUAUUAGGAGGAAUACCAGUAGCGAAGGCGACUUUCUGGACACAAACUGACGCUGAGGUACGAAAGCGUGGGGAGCAAACAGG